UAUGCCACCAGCUCCUCUCCACUUCAUUCUCUAUCUCUUCCUUUCUAUUUACAUAUUCUUCCACCUUCUUAUGUUAUUUCUGUGCCCACUCCUCCUUGUCCUAUGAUUCCAGUUCUUAUUUCACCUCCUUCUUCACUUUUUGAUUUAGUUUUUUGUCCUUCUGUUCAUGUUCCUCUCAGAAAGUCCUCUAGGGUUACCUGCACUUCUUCUUACUUUUUUUGUUAUCUCUAU
rnacentral:lncRNA from 1 species